ensembl:lncRNA
CAGACAGGGCCAGCUGUGGCAGAGGAGAUAGAUGGGAUCCUGGAGGAGUUUGAAGUGAGGCAGAGGGUAGUGGCAGCCACUGUUGACAACGCAGCAAACAUGAGUGUAGCCUUGAAGACUGAUCAAUUUGCCAUGUUUCGCGCACUCACUGAACCUCGGAGCUCAGAAGCUGUACAACUGUAAUACGAUUUCCAACUGGGUGGCAAGGAUUCGUGCUGUGGUUGUAUGGAUGAAGAGAUCCCACAUGGCCAAAGUAAUCCUCAAGGAGAAGCAAGAACUCCUCAAGCUGCCAAAGCACAUGCUCCUCUUGGAUGUGAAGAUGAGAUGGAACUCUCUGUUUUUGAUGAUGGAAAGAUUCUGUGAGCAGUUUUUUGCCAUCCAAGCUGCAGCUAUAGAACCACGGCUUAGAAAGCCCAUGGAAAAGGAGAAACUGGCCAAAAUGGGCAACGAGGACUUGAGGAAAGCAGAGGAGUUUGUGCUGCUGAUGCGGAAGCAUUACACGUCCACACUCGCUGUCUCCAGUGCCAAAGUCCAACCUGUGGCCAAAUACUGCCUAUCCUCCAGAAGUUGCAGACACAUUACACAGUGCAGGCAGAUGACUCUGCAUUCGUGAGGAGCGUUAAAGAGAACAUUUGGAACGAUCUUUCAAAACACUACCAGG